rnacentral:lncRNA from 1 species
GAGGAAGCAUUCUUGAAGUGGUGGGUGACGGAUUGUCUAAACCCUUCUAAGAUAUUCUGCACGGGAGAUUUCUUGAGGCAGCUCAGCCAUGAUGAUCCCCUGGAGGAAAGGGAGGAUGCUGGAGGACAAAAGAAAUAUUUGGACGUCAGAACUGAUUUAUAUUUUUGGAAGAGCUACGCUUCCUUUUCUGAAGAGAGGCGAGCGCGCCCCAUAUCCUGCGCUCGGCGGGA